CGCGCAGAGGGAAAUUACACGGAAAGGAAAACAAGACCUCCAGUAACACGCGGGUCCCGGUGUCACCGAGCGACGUCAUCGAGAGAGAGAGCGGAGGGAUUUAUGGCAUAGUAAAAUGGUGACCCUCGAUGGCUACAGAUGUUCUCACCAAAACAACGGCAGAGAAACUGGAGAUCCAGGUCUAGCCGGGAGUACACCCGGCAGAGCAGCCCGUCUUCACCUCCAUCUUUGUUAAUCGCGUUAGAGAGCCUUUGAUCCGACCCUUCCCAUCCCGCCACGGAGACCCACCGCCCGCAGAGGAGGGAAGUUCUUGGACGGCUGUGGCGCAGGGCCUGAUUAAAAUCGAGCACAGAACAGUGCGAGCAUCAGCCUAUGGAUUCCUUCCUUCUUCCUUCCUCCACCCUCGUCAUCACAUGACAGCCGUUUGAUGUCUUUGGCAGGAACAGACACAAGUCAGAAGAUCGGGCUUUGAUGUGCUCUAUUUCAAUUAACAGCCUCUCUCUCUUUUUUCCCCAAUCCAAAAAAAAACUUAGCUUUGUGUGUUCCUGUGGGGUGCUGCUCAACGUGAAUGCGUUUCGGUUGCCUGUCCAUGCAGCCCAGGCACUUGGAUUUCAGGAGAGCCAGCUCAAAAACCUGGACAUCACAGAGCAAUGGAAAGCUGUCUCCCUCCUCUUGACCUCUGACCCAGGUCGUGCUCCUCAAAGAUAAUCACAGAGAUGGACCUGCAUUCCACCCACCACUGCAGACCAGCGUUACAGCAUACAGAACACAGAGUUCCCUCGGUGUAUUCUUAAACAUGCAGACACCUACAGACGUUCUCAUCAUUGGUAUUUCCGAUUUGCUGAAGCAAAACGAAAACAUUUCACCCAAUACAAAUAAAAAAGGUUAAUCAUUCUCAACUUGCUUUUGGUAUUUUAGUGUAUACACAAACAGUGAAUUUUAAAGCACGUAAACAUGCCACCUUUCCUUUCAUUAUUGUUCAAUGGGGAUUAAUGCAAUAGGAAAAACAUUUGUUCAUCCCAAAUGUAAAUGCAGCGUUACUAUAAGAGACAACUUAUCAGGCUCUCAGGUGAACAUUGACCAGGGGAAGGAAACAUUGGUAUGAAAAAAGGUGUUAAACUGGUGUACAGAAGAACAUAUCUCUCCUGCAUACACACACAAACAAUGCACAGGCAGUGAGACAGACAAACAGACACACAAAUAAAUUACACAUUACAUAGAAUAUGUACACAGACACACAUGCACAGACAGAAAGACACACAGACACACACACACACACACACACACACAUCUCCACAGAAUGUAAAUGAGGAAUGUGGCUUUCUGAGACAUUGUAUCUUCUCUGCACAUAAACACUGACACACAGACAUACAGAGACAGACACACACACACACACACACACACAAUUCCACAGCCUUUCAUCGCAGCCUGGUAAAUCCCUAUGCGCAACACUGUGGCACCUGGCUAAAUUAAACCUGAGCCCAACUGUUUACCCAUCUAAUAAAACAAAAAAAGGAGUUCUGA